rnacentral:lncRNA from 1 species
UUUUCUUUUUUUUUCAUUUCAGGUGAGCCUAGCGUCGAACGCAAGCUCAUGUACAUCAGUCCCGACAAAACGUGCGCGAUCCUUGUCGAAGCCCUGAAGAAAGGACGCAAGGGUUGCCAACUCGUGCAGCCAGAGUCCGCGAUCGACAACGGGAUACCGCAGGAGUGCAACAAGAUCUACGAGGCCAGCUGCGGCAAAAAGAGCCUCACCGUCUACGAACCCGCCUGCAAGACGCUGCCUGACAGCGUGCCCCACGAGGAACUUUAAAACAAUUUUUUUUCUCGCGAUGGCACUCGUGAGCUGGAAGACCGUCACGCACGCCAUCUGUCGGAACAUUCGUCCCAACCUGUCAAGUGUUGUGCGCGGAAGGUGCCUUUUUCAAGAGCGUCUCCCGACACUUACCGACGCUUGUCACGGGCUCGACACAUCUUUAAAAGAGACACUAAAGAA